CGGACGGAUGAGUAAUGUCUGGGAAACUGCCCGAUGGAGGGGGAUAACUACUGGAAACGGUAGCUAAUACCGCAUAACGUCGCAAGACCAAAGAGGGGGACCUUCGGGCCUCUUGCCAUCGGAUGUGCCCAGAUGGGAUUAGCUAGUAGGUGGGGUAACGGCUCACCUAGGCGACGAUCCCUAGCUGGUCUGAGAGGAUGACCAGCCACACUGGAACUGAGACACGGUCCAG
rnacentral:rRNA from 1 species